CAGAGGGGGCUAGCGUUGUUCGGAAUUACUGGGCGUAAAGGGCGCGUAGGCGGCCCGCUAAGUCGAACGUGAAAUCCCCGGGCUCAACCCGGGAACUGCGUCCGAUACUGGCGGGCUUGAAUCCGGGAGAGGGAUGUGGAAUUCCAGGUGUAGCGGUGAAAUGCGUAGAUAUCUGGAGGAACACCGGUGGCGAAGGCGGCAUCCUGGACCGGUAUUGACGCUGAGGCGCGAAAGCCAGGGGAGCAAACGGGAUUAGAUACCCCGGUAGUCCUGGCCCUAAACGAUGAAUGCUUGGUGUGGCGGGUAUCGAUCCCUGCCGUGCCGAAGCUAACGCAUUAAGCAUUCCGCCUGGGGAGUACGGUCGCAAGGCUG
rnacentral:rRNA from 1 species